GUGGGGAGAGGGCUGGAGAGUGAUGCCUGGAGCCGUGUUCUGAGCAGCACAGGUGCUGCAUUGGGGUACAGUACCUCCUCCCCACGGUCAGAAUUAGGCUGGAAACUUGGCGUACAGCAACACAGCAGACGGCCCAGAAGCACAGUUGGGGUGGGGCAAGAAGCUGGGCCACUCAGCCUGUCCUCUGUCUGCCCAGGGAGUCCCCUGAUGAGACGCACACCACCUCUGAGACAAAAGAGUGACUCAAACUUGAGGAACAGGUCAGUCUGUGUUGGCCCUGUUUUCUCUCACCCAGCCAGGCACCUUGUUGAGUGAAGAAAUAAACAAGACGCUAACACCCAAAAUGAAGUUACGGAGAAGAAACAUUUAACGUUUAUUUUUUGUUGGUGGUGUGCUCGAAACAAGAGCAGCAAGGAAAUGAGGGUGGGCCUAAGCCGGUGGCUCACAGUAAGAAGAAAACAACUCCGGGAGGCCUAGAAGAUAUUCCCAGGAGCCACCGUGGAAUAUAGGAAGCAGGGAUCUGACCCUCUGGGCUGAUGGAUGGCUGCUCAGUGUCCGGGGCAGCAGGUGAGGGGUGGUUUGCAGCUGUGUAGCUACACUCCUCACAGGGGGCGUCUCAGGCAGGAGGAGCAUCUGUGAAGGUGGAUACUGUGACAGGCCCGAGUCGUCCAGGACUGAACAACAUAGACCGAGACCCCUGCCCUGUGGAGGUUUGAUUCGUGCAUCUCUUGUGGCAACGUGACUCAAUCGGUGAGCAAAACACACCAGAUGACAAUGGCGAUAUGGAUAUGCCAGCCUU